UACGUAGACCUCGAGCGUUAUCCGGAUUUACUGGGCGUAAAGCGUGCGUAGGUGUCUUUGUAAGUCUCUGGUGAAAUCUCCGGGCUCAACCCGGAAACGGUCAGGGAAACUGCAAGGAUCGAGUACGGCAGAGGCAGAUGGAAUGGUUGGUGUAGCGGUAAAAUGCGUUGAUAUCAACCAGAACACCAAUGGCGAAGGCAAUCUGCUGGGCCUGUACUGACACUGAGGCACGAAAGCGUGGGUAGCGAACGGG
rnacentral:rRNA from 1 species